rnacentral:rRNA from 1 species
UUAAGUGACUAAGCGUAUACGGUGGAUGCCUUGGCAGUUAGAGGCGAUGAAGGACGUGUAAGUCUGCGAAAAGCUGUGGUGAGCCGACAAAAUGCAUUUGAACCACAGAUGUCCGAAUGGGGAAACCCACCUAUUUAUAGGUAUCGUUACAUGAAUAUAUAGUGUAACGAGGCGAACGAGGGGAACUGAAACAUCUAAGUACCCUUAGGAAAAGAAAUCAACCGAGAUUCCCCUAGUAGCGGCGAGCGAACGGGGAUUAGCCCUUAAGCAAUUAUGAACGUAGUGGAAGCCUCUGGGAAGUGGCGCGAUACAAGGUGAUAGCCCUGUACACGAAGUGUUUGUUUUUGUGAAAUCGAGUAGGUCGGGACACGUGUUAUCUUGACUGAAUAUGGGGGGACCAUCCUCCAAGGCUAAAUACUCCUAACUGACCGAUAGUGAACCAGUACCGUGAGGGAAAGGCGAAAAGAACCCCUGUGAGGGGAGUGAAAUAGAACCUGAAACCGUAUACGUACAAGCAGUGGGAGCCCCAUCACUAAGUGCCUUUAGUGAUGUGACUCACAAAGUGCAACCGUUUGAUAAGCGCGUAACGUUGACCUGCGAAGCAGCCAACGGUAAACCGCCAAAAAUCAAGCAGGGUGCUUAGUGAUGGGGUGACUGCGUACCUUUUGUAUAAUGGGUCAGCGACUUAUAUUUAGUAGCAAGGUUAAGCGAAUAGCGGAGCCGUAGCGAAAGCGAGUGUUAACUGCGCGUUUAGUUGCUAGGUAUAGACCCGAAACCCGGUGAUCUAGCCAUGGGCAGGUUGAAGGUUGAGUAACAUCAACUGGAGGACCGAACCCACUAAUGUUGAAAAAUUAGGGGAUGACCUGUGGUUAGGAGUGAAAGGCUAAUCAAGCCCGGAGAUAGCUGGUUCUCCUCGAAAUCUAUUUAGGUAGAGCCUCUCGUAUUACCAUCGGGGGUAGAGCACUGUUUGGGCUAGGGGGUCAUCUAGACUUACCAACCCCAUGCAAACUCCGAAUACCGAUGAGUACAGCGAGGGAGACACACGGCGGGUGCUAACGUCCGUCGUGGAAAGGGAAACAACCCAGACCGCCAGCUAAGGUCCCUAAAUUACAGUUAAGUGGGAAACGAUGUGGGAAGGCCCAGACAGCCAGGAGGUUGGCUUAGAAGCAGCCAUCCUUUAAAGAAAGCGUAAUAGCUCACUGGUCGAGUCGGUCUGCGCGGAAGAUGUAACGGGGCUAAACUAUGCACCGAAGCUGCGGAUUCAUACUUUGUAUGAGUGGUAGGGGAGCGUUCUGUAAGCGGUUGAAGGUGUACCGGGAGGUAUGCUGGACGUAUCAGAAGUGCGAAUGCUGACAUGAGUAACGAUAAUGGGAGUGAAAAACUCCCACGCCGGAAGACCAAGGUUUCCUGUCCCAUGCUAAUCAGGGCAGGGUAAGUCGGCCCCUAAGGCGAGGCAGAAAUGCGUAGUCGAUGGGAAACGGAUUAAUAUUUCCGUACUUAUAUAAUCAGUGAUGGAGGGACGGAGAAGGCUAAGCAAGCUUGGCGUUGGUUGUCCAAGUGAAAGCAAGUAGGCCGAGUGUUUAGGUAAAUCCGGACACUUAAAGCUGAGAUGCGAGACGAGCCACUACGGUGGUGAAGUUGUUGAUGCCCUGCUUCCAGGAAAAGCUUCUAAACUUAUGAUUAUAUGAACCGUACCCCAAACCGACACAGGUGGUCAGGUAGAGAAUACUAAGGCGCUUGAGAGAACUCGGGUGAAGGAACUCGGCAAAAUUGUACCGUAACUUCGGGAGAAGGUACGCCCUUGUUUGUGAUAGGACUUGCUCCUUGAGCAGAUGAGGGCCGCAGUGACCAGGUGGCUGGGACUGUUUAUUAAAAACACAGCACUCUGCUAACUCGCAAGAGGACGUAUAGGGUGUGACACCUGCCCGGUGCCGGAAGGUUAAUUGAUGGGGUUAUCUUCGGAGAAGCUCUUGAUCGAAGCCCCGGUAAACGGCGGCCGUAACUAUAACGGUCCUAAGGUAGCGAAAUUCCUUGUCGGGU